rnacentral:rRNA from 1 species
UCUAAUUAUUAUAGCAAAUAGGAAACACAUGAUCUCAUUCCGAACUCAAUAGUGAAAUUAUUUUGCGCUUAUGGUAGCAUUUUAUGUGAGAGUAAGAAAUAAUUAGAU